UACGGAGGGUGCGAGCGUUAAUCGGAAUUACUGAGCGUAAAGCGCGCGUAGGCGGCGUGAUAGGCCGGUUGUGAAAGCCCCGGGCUCAACCUGGGAACGGCAUCCGGAACUGUCAGGCUAGAGUGCAGGAGAGGAAGGUAGAAUUCCCGGUGUAACGGUGAAAUGCGUAGAGAUCGGAAGGAAUACCAGUGACGAAGGCAGCCUUCUGGACUGACACUGACGCUGAGGUGCGAAAGCGUGGGUAGCAAACAGG
rnacentral:misc_RNA from 1 species